ACGCUCGACACCUACGGGAGGGCAGCAGUGGGGGAUAUUGCACAAUGGGGGGGAACCCUGAUGCAGCGACGCCGCGUGAGGGAAGAAGGUUUUUCGGAUUGUAAACCUCUGUCCUCAGGGAAGAAGAUGACGGUACCUGAGGAGGAAGCCACGGCUAACUACGUGCCAGUAGCCGCGGUAAUCUGAGCGGGCUGGCGAAGGC
rnacentral:rRNA from 1 species